UGGGGAAUCUUGGACAAUGGGGGCAACCCUGAUCCAGCGACGCCGCGUGGGUGGUAAGGCCUUCGGGUUGUAAAGCCCUUUCACCGGGGAAGAUGAUGACAUUACCCGGAGAAGAAGCCCCGGCUAACUCCGUGCCAGCAGCCGCGGUAAGACGGAGGGGGCAAGCGUUGUCCGGACUCACUGGGCGUAAAGGGCGCGCAGGCGGGACGGCGCGUCGGCGCUGAAAGCGCCCGGCUUAACCGGGCGCGGCGCGGCGAUACGACCGACCUGGAGGCAGGCAGAGGGUGGCGGAAUUCCGGGUGUAGUGGUGAAAUGCGUAGAGAUCCGGAGGAACGCCUGUGGCGCAAGCGGCCGCCUGGGCCUGACCUGACGCUGAGGCGCGAAAGCGUGGGGAGCGAACCGGAUUAGAUACCCGCGUAGUCC
rnacentral:rRNA from 1 species